AUGGCGUUAAAGUUACUGCUUCCUUCACCUCACUUCACUCUGUUAUCAAUACAUGUAGUAAAUAAAAAGAAAUUCCUCAAAUAGAGUAAGAAUAACCAGAAAAGGUUUCAGGAAGAGCUACGUAUUAAUCUUGUAACACUAAAGUAUGUUAGAGCAUAAUCUGCUCUUUAAGAACAUGGAGAUUAUUUUGUGAAAUGAAGCCUACUUUGAUAGGAAUCGUUGAAGAGACAGUGCCAUGUUCUUAAUGCAGAUAAAGAAUGACAUAGUAUGAUGGUUUGCUUCAGAAAAGAACGUCAUUACAAAAACUGAAGAUGUGCAAUGUAGAAACUCACUAAAAAACUGCACCGACGUGAAUCCAGCUGCAGCUCAGUGCACAGCCAGAACCGCCUGCUGUAACCGGGUCGCCCUGCAGCCCGUCAUCACAGACCUGGUGCAGAGUCUUUUGCCAAGGCUUAGUGGGAAGGUGGACGUCGUCCUCUUCAAUCCUCCAUAUGUGGUCAGUCCAUCAGAAA